GAUGAACGCUGGCGGCGUGCUUAACACAUGCAAGUCGGAGCGAAGCGUCUUUGGUUAGAUUCUUACGGAUGAAGACCCUUUGUGACUGAGCGGCGGACGGGUGAGUAACGCGUGGGUAACCUGGCCUCAUACAGGGGGGAUAACAGUUAGAAAUGACUGCUAAUACCGCAUAAGACCUACAGUACCGCAUGGUACAGGGGUAAAAACUCCGGUGGUAUGAGAUGGACCCG
rnacentral:rRNA from 1 species